rnacentral:lncRNA from 1 species
AAUAAAAUUAAAAGAUGAGUGGAUAUAGAUAUGAAUUUAGAUAUUAAGAUAAAUUCAGAUUUACUCUAGAUCCAUCUUAGAUCCACACAUUAAUAUUCAAAUUUGAUCUAAAUUUAUUUUAAACUGAUCCAAAUCUAAUCUGAUUAAAUUUAAAUUACGUAAAUCUUGGGUCAAAUCCAAUCCAUUAUAAUCCCUAAUAUAAUCCCAAUCAAUAAUGUGGCCCUACUGGACUCGACUAGCUUACAGAAUCUGUGAGCUACUUAAACAAUAGAAAAUGAGACGGUGGGAUGACGGGAGAUGUUAGGUACAGAAUCUGUACCAUAGGCAAGUCCGGCUCUCACUUAACUAAGGUAGCGUACUGUCACCUGUGAAGUGCUUGUUCUAAUAAAUUCUAAUCGCACUUUUUUUUUUUUUUUCCGUAUUGAAUUAAUGAGUUUCACACAUCACUUUCAUGCACAGGUUGUGAUUGCUCUUGUUGUUCAAGUACACUUUCGCCUAUUAAUAAAAAGAGUUUUGCUAAUUCACAACCUAUGUAACUCACAACCUCUAUAAUAUGGCAGUAGGUUCAAUUGUCAUAUUAUUAGUCUUUGUACAUUCACUUUGAUAAAAUAUUAGUACCCUUAUGAUUUGAUGUUUACUUUGAUAAAAAUAUAUGUUGA